GAAGUCUCUAAGGCCUGAAUUUGAGGAGAGAGAGGAGCAGAGAGAAGUGGGGAGAACUAUGGUUGCCAAAAGCAGUGGCAGCAGGAAAGCAAGAGCAGGGGAAAUGCCCAGUCCCACCACACUCCAGGACUGAGCUAUAGGAAACAGGAUACAGUGGAAAAAAGACAGUCUCUUCAAUAAAUGGUGCUGGGAAAACUGGAC